rnacentral:lncRNA from 1 species
CUGACUCACACAGAGGCAGCUUCCAGCCUUCCACAGUUCUUCCAAUUCGACACAGUUAUUUAUUUAUUUUUUUAAGGUCCAAACUCCUGUGCAGAGCAAGCAUCCAAAUGCUGUCAUCCUCUCAGCCCCAUGCUCUAGCUCAUUUUUCACACCACUGGAUUUAAUUUACUAUUAUCGUGCCUGGAAUGUGUUUGCAUCUGUAUUCUUGAGAGAUUGCUAUACAGCUCAUUUGAGGCCUCACAAGAUUAAAACUUGGUAAGAAAGUAGACACGGAAGUGUGUCUCUGUCCAGUUCCACCUAAACUGUGCUGGCAGAAACUUUGGCUCCUGCUGCUUAGCUCCUUCAGCGACCUGCGAGUCUGUCUCACGAAAAGAUACCGACCGCCAUCUUGAAUUUCUAAGCACUAAACACGAAGAGAUGUGAGUUUCUCAAAAGAUGCUUCAGACCCUCUGAGCCCCUUUGUCUGCGUGGAACGGGUCUCUAGUCGCGGGUGGACAAAGCGUAGGAUGAGUGACAAACAGACGCACACAGGAGAGGUCGAGGAAUCUGAAUGUCAUUUUUCAAAUCGAGCAUCAGACUUUUUAUGCAGAAGACAAUAAGGAAGUUGGAUGACAUACCUGCAAGGUACAAAUGAGCUUUCCCAGAUAUCUCUGAAGAUACCAUUUUGAAUAGGACUCACAUCACUCACUGCCUUGUUCUAGGAUGGAUUUACCAGCUCUUCUUCUCUCCUGAAGACUGUUGUCCUGCCUAUGCCCAGACCCAUCUACAUCAGAUCUGAGGAGUGAGUCUUCUAAACUAUGAAGGACAUAUUAUAAUAUUCAAUAAACAAUCUGUGGCCUCCAUAUGCACAGAAUGUGAUGCUGGGCAAACAGAGAGCUCUGAGCAAAAGUUCUAAGAAAGAAAGUCUUCUAAUGGAAGCAUCUGCAAGCCUGAUGAACUAAUUUGAACCUCAGUGACCAUGAAGAGUUUGGAAUGUUACAGGUCCAGGGUCUAUUUACAAUUCAUCUUGGGUUAUCUUUAGCUCUCUAAGUAGCCAUUCUUUCCUUAUAUUUGUGUGAACCUAACAUUCUGUGCCUAACAGAUUAAGAAGUCUUUUGGAAUGUAGUAAAUCUGUGGCUUCCACUAAUUGAAAGACUGAGUGUCAUCAGGUAGUACCUGAGCCCUACAGUCAAUACUUCUCUGCAUGUUUUCACUAAUGUACCUGAAAACUGCUUUGAUCUUUUUAGUUUCUUUGUUCUGUUACUAUAAACUAAUUCCACAUUGGAACAUGGAAUUUGACACUACACCCGUGUUCCCAGGCUAUGGUCGCUCUUAUUUGGCUCUGGAAUAAAUUGAAAUGAGAUGUGUGCUUCUGCCUCAACAUUAAAUUUUCUGGUGAUAACCAUUACCCAAAGUGGUUCACAGAAGGUUUUAUCUUGGCUGGGCAAAUCACAGUGGUGGGGGAGACAUGUCAAGGGAGACUGGAGAAGGAAGCUGAGAGAUCCCAUCUUCAACCACAUGUAGAAAGCAGAGUGUAAGGCCUGGAAGUGGGGCCAGGCUAUAAACCCCCAAAGCCCAUCCACAGUUCUGCAAGGAAAGCUUCCAUCCAUGACCUUGCCAGACAAUGCUGGUCGCUGGGGACUGAUGGUGAAGUCCAUGAGUCAGUGAGGGAACAUUUCUUGUUCAAACCAUCACACCAUAUAAAUUUGAGAGACAG